CAGAGAUACCCUCUAGGAGGUAUUCAUCAUCUUCUUUGCACUGUGGCUGUCUUUGGUGAGCACACAGGAUCCUUCUCAGAAUUAUGCCUUUAAAAGCAUAAAAUAAAAUAUAUAGGAUCAAAGUAUCAUCAAAAUACUUUUUAAAUGCAAUCUGUAGUAACAUAUGUGCCUUUUUAUCAAUGUAUUAUAUGACAAGAUCUUGUGGUAGGAAGUAAUUGAUGAGCAAAAAUUAUUUUUCAAAGUAUUAAAACAUCUGUAAUAUAGUAUGAAAACAUCUAUGAUUCCUAUUAGUGACAAAUCCAAGGUGUGGCUAAUUCUGCCAUGGUUUGUUACCUGCUUUCAUAAUGAAAGGAAAUGCUCAAUUUCAGUUAAAGUUUAGUGAAAAGGAAGAUGCAACUUUUUCCCAUCCAAGGUCAUGGACCCUCUGACUUUUCCCACACUCUCCUGCUUUACACAAAGACCCAGCUUUGUGCCUACAGCCCAGUGGUUAAGAGCAUCCAAGCCAGACCUGUUUGCUCAGUUACUGCUGCAGUACUUGGGGCAAGACACUCAGCCUUCCAGUGCCUCUGUUUCUUCAUAACUGUGAAGACCAAAUGAGUUAAUACACACAAAGCAGUUAGAAUAAUGCCUGCCACAUAGUAGGUGCUCACUAAAGAAGGACAAGCUGUUUUCUUUCUUAUUCUCAGCCCCAAAUACAAUGGAGAGAGAAGCCCACAGAUGUGGGGCAUUAUUUACUAACCAGAGUCGUGCUAAUAAGCUCACAAAGCACAAUUAGCAGUCAUUUCAAUUCUGAGGUUUGCUUGACUAUAAAAGCUUCACAUUUCUUCCUCCCUGAUUUCUCUGCUAAUUACAACUGCCGCCGUCCAUCGCAGCUGCCACACAACAUGGGUGCUGACUGCCUCUAACGUAGUUGUUAAGGCGGCAUAAUGGGGCACAAUGACUAAUUGGCCAUCAUGCCCAGGAUGAAUGCGUCAGACAACAGCGGCUGGCCAGUUCCUGGCCUUGGGACCCCGAGCUGCACAGCCCCAGCACUCUCCCAGUGCACCCCUCCUCCACCUUCCCAAGCUGCCUGAUGGGACCAGCCAAUGAAAGGGUGCAGGGACAGGUGUGCAGAACUGGGAGGCUCUGGGGGCCCUCCCUGAGGCCAGCCCUGCCCCUAACUUGCUGUGUGACCAUGAGUUAGCCACUGAGUGUCUCUGGGCUGCACUUUAAUCAUCUAUAAAAUGGAGCCACCUUGCAGUUAGCUGAGGUCACGUGACAGCUCUGACCAAUGGGCUGUGGGCAGAAGCAACAAGCACCAUUUCCGGGCUGAAGCAUGGAGAAGCAGAGAAGCAUGUGAUCUCCCCGCAGUCUCUUCCGGUCUUGCGACCCAGAAGGCCUUGUGGUGACAUGGUGGAACUGAGCUGAGCUGGAAGCAGCCCAGGUUGCCAAAUUGUCACUUGGAAGACACCCCUGGCAACCUUUGUAGAGCAGCAAAAUUUCACCCAAGGGGAUCUCCCAUUCCUCUUUCCUGGAAGAGACUCCAGGGUAAGCAAAAAAUAGAUCCCAUCUCACCUCUACAGGGUGUGAGAAUCCUACAGAACUCUUGGUGCAUUUUGUAAAACCACAAACUUCUUGAGUUUGGAAAGAAUUCUGGAGUCUUUCAGUCCUAAGUCACAGACCCCAGCAUUGAUUAUGGAGUCUACAGCAGCACAGAAUUCCAGAGUCACAGAAAUCAAAGCUCCAGGACAGUCCUGGAAAGAAACAGGAGAGCGUGGCCACCCAUCUGCCCAGCCACCAAGGCCUAACCCACCAGCGGGGCUAUAUUGGCUUCUUCUUGGGGACGCCCAGUACAGCAGGCCCCCUGGUCCUCCCUCCCCAGGCCUGUGUCUCACGUCCCCACAGUGGGAUUGCAAGCAAGCUGUCCCCAUGCAGCAGAUAAAUAAAUAAAUAAAUAAAGA
rnacentral:lncRNA from 1 species